UUGCUAGUAAUGGCAGGUCAGCAUACUGCCGUGAAUACGUUCCCGGGCCUUGUACACACCGCCCGUCACACCAUGAGAGUUGGGGAUACCCGAAGCCUGUGAGCUAACUUUUAGAGGCAGCAGUCGAAGGCAGAAUCAAUGAUUGGGGUGAAGUCGUAACAAGGUAAC
rnacentral:rRNA from 1 species